UGGGAACAGUUUUCCCUGAGGAAGC
rnacentral:piRNA from 1 species